GGCGGUAUCUUUUCAAUGAGAUGCUAAGGUCUUUGCGCCCAGUAGCUCGGGUCUACUGGGUCAGUUGGUCUGGGCGGGCUCCGCUCAGCCUAAGAUGCUCACGGAGUUAAGUGAGGUGACUCGUUUAAGAUGCAGAAAGCCCACGCAGAAGGCGACAGUACUUUAUGCAGUGCAAGUAGCGUGCGGAAAGAGAGAGGCGAUGUGCAAAAGCCCAAGCUUCACCAAGCUUCUCUGGUGGACCGAGCCGAGUUCACCCUUGCCCUGGCAUUAGGGGCAGCCGUAUAGCUCCAAGAGCUGAGAAGGCUUUUUGAAGCAUCAGCUGUGGGCAUUUUUUUUUUAUAGCGUGGGUCCCGCUACAAGUAUUCAUAGGCUUAUUACUCUGAGAGGGCAAAAGAUCUAGAAUUUUAAUCGCUUAAUAACUGGAACUAUUAUUUCCUGUUACCUUCUGCUAAGAACAUGUGCUUCGAAGUCUAGCUUUCAUUGCAAGGCCCUCUCAUUGGACGAAGCGUCCCAAGACUGGAAUUUAAGCCUUUAGGAAUUGGUGCAGGAGUCCUGAUUUGGCCAUACAUGAUGAGGCCGACCAGCCCGGGCUUCACAAGACCACAGCAUGGUUCCCAGCACUUAUAUCAGGAAUUAUCACAACCACCUGUACUCCAGUUCCAGCGUACCAUACCAGUUCAGGACUCCCGAGGGCGCACCCGCACAUUUUCUUUUUUCAAAUGUAAAUUGUUCUCUAUUCGCAUAUACACCUAAAGGCCAGAAGAGGGCAUCAGGUCCCACUACAGAUGACUGUAAACCACUUUCAUGGUGGUUCAAAGUGGUUCAUGGGAAUCGAACUGGGGGACUUCUGGAAAAAAUGUCGAUGCUCUUAACAGCAUGCUGAACCGUCUCUCCAGCCCCUACUCUUUUUUUUUUUUUUUAAAGCAAACCGCCAAGGCAAAAACAAGAAGUUCACCAAGUUAAAGUACCCGACUGGAUACACAGCUCAGUGGUGCUCUGCAGCCACCUCCAUAGUGCACUGAUUAAUGAAUGAGGAACUUUCACAAGGAGAUCUAUGUAUAUAUAUGUCUUCAUUUCCUGUUUGCUGAGUUCUCACAAGAGGACUGCGCUGAACAUUCAUCUCUGGCCUUCUGGAUCACCACCAAUCUGUGUUUAACCCGAAGUAGCUGUUAUUUCCACCACCACCCCCAUUUCUCUGUGUAGCCUUGGCUGUUCUAUACCUUGCUCUAUAGACCAGGCUGGCCUCAAACUCAGAGAUCUGCCUGCUUCAAGUAAUUAUCUGUUGAAUAAAGAAUUGAGAUCCUAAUACCUGGCUCUAGUUUGCACCUGUUUGGUCCC